GAUGAACGCUAGCGGCAGGCUUAACACAUGCAAGUCGAGGGGUAACAGGGAGAAGCUUGCUUUUCCGCUGACGACCGGCGCACGGGUGCGUAACACGUAUGCAACCUACCUUUCACAGGAGGAUAGCCCCGAGAAAUCGGGAUUAAUACUCCAUAACAUCACGGAUUCGCAUGUUUCUGUGAUCAAAGUUCCGACGGUGAAAGAUGGGCAUGCGGCCUAUUAGUUUGUUGGUGAGGUAACGGCUCACCAAGACUACGAUAGGUAGGGGGUCUGAGAGGAUGAUCCCCCACACUGGUACUGAGACACGGACCAGACUCCUACGGGAGGCAGCAGUGAGGAAUAUUGGUCAAUGGACGAAAGUCUGAACCAGCCAUGCCGCGUGCAGGAAGACGGCCCUCCGGGUUGUAAACUGCUUUUAUGUGGGAAUAAACCCUUGGACGUGUCCAGGGCUGAAGGUACCACACGAAUAAGGAUCGGCUAACUCCG
rnacentral:rRNA from 1 species